rnacentral:rRNA from 1 species
AACAAACGCUGGCGGCGUGCCUAAUACAUGCAAGUCGAACGGGGAAGGCUUUCGGGCGAGUACUAGUGGCGCACGGGUGAGGAACACGUGGAUAAUCUGCCUUGGAGAGGGGGAUAACUAGUCGAAAGAUUAGCUAAUACCGCAUAAGACCACAGGAACUGAGGUUCUAGGGGUCAAAGGUUUUUCGCUCCAAGAUGAGUCCGCGUAAGAUUAGCUAGUUGGUGAGGUAAUGGCUCACCAAGGCGACGAUCUUUAACUGGUCUGAGAGGAUGAUCAGUCACACUGGAACUGAGACACGGCCCAGACUCCUACGGGAGGCAGCAGUAGGGAAUAUUGCACAAUGGAGGAAACUCUGAUGCAGCGACGCCGCGUGAGUGAUGAAGGCCUUCGGGUCGUAAAGCUCUGUCGCAGGGGAAUAAAAAAAUGAAGGUACCCUGCAAGAAAGGAUCGGCUAACUUCGUGCCAGCAGCCGCAGUAA